rnacentral:rRNA from 1 species
AUUGAACGCUGGCGGCAUGCCUUACACAUGCAAGUCGAACGGCAGCACGGGAGCAAUCCUGGUGGCGAGUGGCGAACGGGUGAGUAAUAUAUCGGAACGUGCCCGGUCGUGGGGAUAACGUAGCGAAAGCUACGCUAAUACCGCAUACGAUCUACGGAUGAAAGCGGGGGAUCGCAAGACCUCGCGCGAUUGGAGCGGCCGAUAUCAGAUUAGGUAGUUGGUGAGGUAAAGGCUCACCAAGCCGACGAUCUGUAGCUGGUCUGAGAGGACGACCAGCCACACUGGGACUGAGACACGGCCCAGACUCCUACGGGAGGCAGCAGUGGGGAAUUUUGGACAAUGGGCGCAAGCCUGAUCCAGCAAUGCCGCGUGCAGGAUGAAGGCCUCGGUUGUAACUGCUUUGUACGUAACGAAACGGUAGGAGCGUCUAAUACAGUUUACUAAUAG